GGCACCGUAGCUUAGUAGGUUAAUGCUCUCUCAUAAACACUAGAUUCUGGGUUCAAAUCCCAGCGGUGCCU